AUUGAACGCUGGCGGCAGGCCUAACACAUGCAAGUCGAACGAGCGGCGGACGGGCGGGUAAUGUAUGGGGAUCUGCCUGAUAGAGGGGGAUAACUACGGGAAACGGUGGCUAAAGCCGCAUACUGAUGGAUGAACCCGCGGUGCAUUAGCUAGUUGGUGAGGUAAAGGCUCACCUAGGCGACGAUCUCUAGCUGGUCUGAGAGGAUGAUCAGCCACACUGGGACUGAGACACGGCCCAGACUCCUACGGGAGGCAGCAGUGGGGAAUAUUGCACAAUGGGCGCAAGCCUGAUGCAGCCAUGCCGCGUGUAUGAAGAAGGCCUUAGGGUUGUAAAGUACUUUCAGCGGGGAGGCGUUACCCGCAGAAGAAGCACCGGCUAACUCCGUGCCAGCAGCCGCGGUAAUUC
rnacentral:rRNA from 1 species